rnacentral:rRNA from 1 species
AAGUCAUAACAAGGUUUCCGUAGGUGAACCUGCGGAAGGAUCAUUAAUAAUGCUCUCUGGCUUCGGUCAGUUGAGUUCAAUGAGUGCCUUCUCUUCGGAGUUGGCCAUCCAUACACACCGUGAACUGUGGCUUCGGCCAUCACAAACUGUUAGUAAUGAAUGUAAUAUCAUAACAAAAACAAAACUUUUAACAACGGAUCUCUUGGCUCUCGCAUCGAUGAAGAACGCAGCGAAAUGCGAUAAGUAAUGUGAAUUGCAGAAUUCAGUGAAUCAUCGAAUCUUUGAACGCACCUUGCGCCCUUUGGUAUUCCGAAGGGCAUGCCUGUUUGAGUGUCAUGAAACCUCACCCCACUUGGGUUUUUGCCUGAGCGGUGGUGUAUUGGGUGUUGCCUUGCCAAAGGCUCGCCUUAAAAACAUAAGCACCUUGGAUGUAAUACGUUUCAUCCUUCUGGGUGGCUGAUAACCCCACAUAUUCAUGAUCUGGCCUCAAAUCAGGUAGGGCUACCCGCUGAACUUAAGCAUAUCAAUAAGCGGAGGAAAAGAAACUAACUAGGAUUCCCUUAGUAACGGCGAGUGAACCGGGAUGAGCUCAAAUUUGAAAUCUGGCGUCUUUCAGGCGUCCGAGUUGUAAUCUAUAGAGGCGUUUUCCGCGCU